GGAGCAUAAAACAAUAGACGAUUAAUAAAGAAAACAAAAAAGAAUAUAAGUCGAGCCAAAGAUAAUUAAUAAAUAAAUACAAAACAAGUUGGUCAAGGAUUAUAGUUUCUGAGCAAGCGGUGUAGUGGGUGGUUAUAACUGAAGGAAGUGGAGUGGCGAGGUAUAGAGAACGGAGACUGGUUUGCGAGUAGGGUAUGAGGGAACUCUAAAACAGAUUUGUCCAAGAAUAUUAGGAGCAUCCAGUGACCCAUCUAAAAGAAAGAGCUGAUCGACUGUGAUCACCCGAGAGGAGAGAGUUUGGAUCUGAAGGGUAUUACUGAAGAGUGAGUAGUCAUGAUUGGUAACUGGAAUCUUGAGAAGGUGGGAGGUAUACAAAAAAAAUCUGUUUUGAACACGUUCAGAGCGAAUUUGAUCUUUCGCAAGAAAUGGGUGCCAUAUAAUAACACCGUACUCAAGAAGUGGCCUAAAGAGUGCAAAAUACAAAGUACGGAGACAUUGUGCUGAUUUUAAUAGUUUAGAAGAAAGAAAGUUAGAAAAAAAGUGCUAAAGAAACGUUCCAAAUAUUGAAACAAGGUUAUAGUGAGUCAGCCAUGUCUCGUGCUACUGUAUUUCAGUUGCAUAGUUAGUUUCAUCCGGCAGAAAGUCAUUGGAUGGACAAUGAGCAGAGAAAUGAAAGACCAAGCAAAACGAAAACUGAUGAAAAUGUUGCUUGUGUCAGCUGUUUAAACACCAGGUUUAUAUCUUCCAGACUAUUUUCUGUUUCCAAAGAUAAAGUUUAAGAGGAAUCAAUUUUACCAAUACUGAAACAGUUUAAAAAACUGUGACCAAGAAGCUCAAAAACAUUUCUAAAAAUGACUUCUCAUGUACCAUGGA